CUGUUAUGAAUUGGCACUAUAUAAAUAAAAUUAAUGACAGCUUUGAAGAAUGUGCUUUUACUCUAAAGUAUAGUCUGAGCCAUUUUAGAUAACAAAAAUGUACCACUUCACAAGCAACAGUUUAACAUCUUGCAUUCAUGACAGCAUCAAUAUUUAAGGUUGCAAAUUUAUCAGCUGUUUUGUAUGGCUUAAGUACACUUGAAAUAAAUGAAAAGAUGUGUAACAGUAAUAGAUAAUGAUAGAACCUAUGGAUAAUAACCCAGUGUCAUAAUUUGGCAAAAUCUUAAUGUCUUGUGAAACAAGUGAUGUCUUCAACCUCUUUACCGUAGAGUACACAUCACAUAGGCCCAGGCGUGGUAACUUUCCUCAAGUGUCUGUCAUAACCUGAUAUGAGGUUUGUUAGUCAGUGAAAUUAGUAGUGUUCAUGUGGAUGUGUGUGGAUAGUGUAGGAUAAGGUGUUGUGGAGUAAAAGUAAAACAAUAUGCUAAGCAAAGCAAUAGGGUGCAGGUGCUGACAUGGAAGAGAGCGAGCCACGCUGGAAGCUGGGACUUCUAUAUCCUGUAGAGCACUGCGCCCAGGUGCUCCAGAUCUGGUUGGAUACUGCAAUCAGCUCUCUGGCACCAUAAAAGACAAUACGGGUAGACACAGUUACUGACAAAGCACACACACAAGUAGACUAAGCAGGGGGCCCUCACAUGUCCUAAUACUACUAAUUUACCUAACUCAGGAACCUCGCCCUACAGCCCAGUUACCUGUUUUCACCUUACAUUAUUAUUAUUUUAAAAUUCUAGGCUGCCCUGGUACUGCCCAAGGUUUCUGCCUCUUAAAGGAAGUUUUUCCUUGACACUGUUGCCAAGUGCUUGCUCAUGGUGGCAUUUGUUGGGUCUCUGUAUAUGAUAUUGUAAAGAGUGCUAGUCCAGCUCUAUAGGAAAAGUGCAAUGAGAUAAUUUCUGUUAUGAAUUGCCGCUAUAUAAAUAAAAUUGAACUGAAUUCACCAAGUGCCACUCCCCAGAACAGCGUACCCAUCAACUUUUUCCCUGUCAACACUUCGUAGUCCAUCCCUCCAGUCCUCAUCAGGCAUAGGUGCAGCCAUUUACUCUAAUUAGUGUCCACAGCAGCUCCCUUCCCUGACUACAGUUACAGUACAUAGCCAAGUGUAGCAUUAACAUUACGUAUGGUAAGUUUAACGUUAACAUUGCAUAACGUUACCUAACUAACAAGGUGGACCUUUAUUUUCCAACCUCACACAAACGCCAUUUGUUCAAAAGUAUUAUCCCCCUAAAUUCCAACACUUCUCUAUUACGUUUUGACUUCGGUGCAUGCCGGUUUAAUAACUGUGGCUAAAAGGCACAAACUCGACCGAGAGGUCAAGUUCAGUGACUCACUGAGCUGAGGUGACGGCUAGCAGACCACAGACCAUUCGCGUUGACGGGACACCGGCACCCCCUACCUAUCACUAAAAGCGGCCAUGCCCUUAAUUAUGCAGAACUUUAAGCCUUAAUAUAAUUUAAACGGGUGAACCGGGUAAACGGGUGGUGAAAAUUCACCCACCUCACAGUUGUCAUGAAGGAAGAAAUUAACUAUAAAGACCAAAACCAUUUUUUUGUACCAGGCUGUAAACAUGUUUAUUUCUGCUUUAAAGCUGGGUAUUUUAACAUGGAGGUCUAUGGGGAUUGACUCCCUUUCAGAGCGAGUCUUCAGUCUAGUGGCUAUUUGAUGAACUGCAGUUUUUGGCACUUCUGCGUUGGCUUCAUUUUUCAGCCCCGGAAGUUGCCACUUGGUCAAAUCGUACGAUAUUUGACAUGGACAGAGCAAGGUUCAUCCUGACCAGGAAUCCAUUGGAAAUGUCUUUUCACCUAUGAAGGAUUUUUAUUUAUGACAGUUCAAAUAUGAGGCAAUUAUGAAUGUUAUAAUGUAAUUUGAGCUAACUUUCCCUUUAAAUUUCUCAAAAGUUGUACAUUAAAAUAAAAUUAUAUUUCACAUGGACAUAACCAGGGUCAUCCUGAACAGGAAUCUUUUGGAAAUUUCUCGUCACCUGUAAAUGAUUUUUUUUUGACAGUUCAAAUAUGAGGGAAUUAUGAUUGUUAUAAAUGGAUUUGAGCUGACUUUCCCUCUACAUUUCUCAAAAAUUGUACAGUCAAAUUGCACACUAUUUGUCAUGGACAGAGCAAAGGUCAUCCUGAUCAUGAAUCCAUUGGAAAUUUCUUGUCACCUAUAUAGAAUUUUUUUUUGACAGUUCAAAUAUGAGAGAAUGAUGAUUGUUUUAAUGUAAAUGGAGCUGACUUAGUUUGAGCUGACUUUCCCUUUAAAUUUCUCAAAAGCUGUACAGUAAAACAACAGUAUAUUUCACAUGGACAUAACCAGGGUCAUCCUGAACAGGAAUCCAUUGGAAAUUUCCUGUUACCUAUUAAGGAUUUUUUUUUUUAAUUUAAUAUCAAAUAUGAGAACAUUAUGAAAGUGUUAUAAUGUCAUUUGAACUGACUUUCCCUUUAAUUUUCUCCACAAUUGUACAGUAAAACCAUAUGAACAUUUAUAUGGUCAUAGCCAGGGUCAUCCUGAACAGCAGGCUUGGAAUUAAGUCAUUUUUAGGGCAAGGCCACUUUGGCCUUUGAUAAAUACAAAUUUAUUGGAGCAUCACAACCAAAAUGUAGGGUACCAAGGCCAAAACCAAUGGUGCAAUAACAAUAAGUGAUAAUUACAUUGUAUGAAUACAGAACAGGACACAAUCAAGAAUUAGGAGUCAGUGUAUUAAAACACUACUGAGUUUAUUUAAAUUGUACAAUGAAUGUUUUACUUCCACAAAAUGCUGUUUGAUUGAUUUUUUAAAAUGUGUAUAAUUCAUUGUAUUAAUUAUUAUUGUUAUAUUUUAAUGAUAAAGUAAAGCCAAUAAAUUAGCUAAGGUUGAUCAAAAUCAAUCUGAACAAGUUUCAACACCCAUGCAACUAUUAGCAGUCUGAGCUAGGAGCAGUCACAAACAUGACUCAACUCGCUACCAGCCUGCGUUGGUUAGCUGCGUUAUUUUAGUGGGAGAAGACGGUGGGAAUGAGAUGCCAACCGUUCCAAAAAUCAAGAUUUGUCACUAAAAUACGUGCUGGUUGGUGGAUCAGAUACACGCAGAAUGAAGCCGUUUUUUCAGACAUUACCAAAAUAACUACCCAGUUUGCUUCCUGUUUGGUGCUGGAGAUGAAUUCUCCUGUGCCGGUGAUCGCAGUUUUCUGUCCCUGUUUGGACUCUUGCCAGCCUGUGUACCUGCCUCUCCAGCCACCCCACUUUGCCCGUCUCCCACAACUCCACCACGGAGCCAGACCUUUUUGGAUCCUACCUGCUCCAGGCUACUGGUUCCGCUGACGGUCAGUCUCCACACCUCACCGCCAACUCCACAUCGCGGCCAGUCCAGGUCUACACUGCACCACCUGUUCCUCGCCUCACAGACCUGUCUGCCUGUCCAGAUCCACGCGGCAUCCAAACCUAGUCAGACGGGUGACCGCGACUUCAGUCUCCACUCCGAAGCCAUAGCUGCGACACCGAAGGCUUCACUCGGGAGAACUACACCCCUUCCCACUAAUCCUGCUUACAUUCAUAUAAAGAGUGAAUUGAUGUGUAAGACACUUGUAGUGUGUGUGCUGCAUCUGUGGGUUCGAAAUAUCAUACACUACGACAGUUUGUGUUUAUCACAUAACUUAAAUUGUUAGCUAGCGGAUUAGCUGUUAAUGUUUAUUGUUUACUUUCACACAGCAUUUUUCGGGAGAAAGCUUGUGCUACUGUUGUCCAGUGUGACGACAGUGACACUGGGAAACGUGAGUUUAUUAGUUUUUAGUAGUUUUUAAAUGAGGAAAUCUGCAACUGUAGUUUAAGGGCACAACGGCCAGUUCAAAACAGGGCAUGCCAAACUGGCCAUGUGUGGACUUUCUUAAGAGAGGUCACUAACCAAUAUUUGAUAUUUUUGAGUUUGUUUUUUAUAAACAGUACAAUAACUUUGAAUUUUAUUAUAAUAACUCAUUUUUCGAUCUUUUUGGCCGCUCCAAGCACCCGUACCGUAACACCACGAAUGCCCAUGAAAAUCCAAGCGGCUGCUCACUUGACUGCAAUUACCUGCUGCAAAGAGAGAGAGAGACCCGUAUCCAAAUAUCGGUAGCCUACCUUUUUAGAAGGGACGAAAGCCGAAGGUUACCGUAGAUAUUUCAACUUGGAUUCACUUUUAUGAAAAAAACGUUUUGAUUCUUUGAUUGGUGGACCCUUACGGAGUAAAGGAAUAUAAAUAAAUAUUCGAGGAAUAGACACAUAGUCGGACUCAGUGCCAGAGCUAGAGAAAAUGAGCAAGUGCUUCUAAGCCCUCUUUGGCACCUUAUGAAAAAAACCCCAGAAGGAAGCAUGUCUCCCGCUGACGUCGUUCCUCACCGCUGCCCAGCUGCUCGUCCUCACCACUGCCUUGUGCCCUGGAGGUAACGCUGCCCAGCGCCCUGGAGACUCAGCUGCCCAGCGCUCCGGAGACUCAGCUGCCCAACGCUUCCGAGCCAUCAUCGGUCCUGCUAUGUCCCAGUCGGCAGCCUGGCCUACCAGUUUUGAUUGUUUGCCCCUCCCUAAUUGUCUCAUUGUCUCUCCUACCUGAUUUUUUCCUUUGUUCAGUGUCAGUUCGUCGUUGUACCCAUGUCAAGCGUCCUGGUUUGUCAUUCUGUGGAUUCAUUGUUUCCCUGUACCCUACCUGUCUGUGGAUUUUGGAUUUCCAUGCUCACCAUUGGAUUUGUUUUUUUGGUUUUACUGCUUGCCUGCUCCCUGUCUGUAUUGUUUUUGGACUGCCUGAAAUCUGUGUAAGCCUUUUGUGUUUCUUAUCAUUAAAUGGUUGAUCUGCA